rnacentral:lncRNA from 1 species
UAUUAUUUUUGUUAUUGUUACUUAUCUCCUUACUUAUGUAUUUUUCAUUAUUCAAGGGCAAGGACCAUUUUUCCCCUUCUCCUCUUACCCUCCUCCUUGUUCUAAAUAGGACUUAUGGCAAAUUUCAGCAAGUUGAUGAGAAAAAUAGAGGGAAAAUGAAGAUAUAAACAUAAAAUGGAGCCAGCAGAGACUAAUACAGAAAGUACAUCCUUACUUUAGUGGGUCACAGGAUUGGCUCUAAGCUUCCUAGCACCCAAUGAGAUGAAAGAAACUGAAUUAGUUACAUAAUGUAACACUGUUGUCCAUGAAAUAAAACAAGCGAAUAGCUCAGGAGAAACACACCUGGGCGACAUUCUUUUUUUCCUUCUCACUUCCUUCUUGACCUUGUGAUUCAUUUUGCUGAAGGGAAGACCAUUUGUUGGAAAGUGUUUCUGAAUGCGAUGGGAGUCCUGGCCCUUGGUAGAGGCCCACCCCUCGCUGUCUUCAGCUGAUCUGUUAGUAAUAGAGAAGAUCUAGUUCCUGGCCCAGAGAACUGAUCCUGCAAUAGGGCUGUGUUUUUGAAACCAAAAGCGUCAUACAGAUAACAAAGGAGAUGUGUCUCACUGUGGUUAGGCUAUUUUGUAGCAACACUUGUUUCCACUCUUUUGCAAUUUCAGGUUCUGUCAGACUUGAUCUAAACAUGAAUGUGCAAGUCCAGUGCUCAGGCUGAUAUAACCACUGUCUGGGCCCUGAGUUGAUUUGAAUUUCCACUUCCAAUCUGUGGUGCAACGUAUGUAACACAGCAAAUCAGGGAUGGAGACUCAAGAAGUUAAAGAAAAUUUACCCAAGGUCACAGAGCUAGAAAGUGGCAGGAGUCCGGCUUCAAAAUUCAGAUGACUACACACCCCAGUUCCCUCUCAGCCAGGCCACCUUCCUUAGAGAACAACCAAACCCACACCAAAAGGUGAACACAAGCUGAAUCACCAGGACUCAUCAGCAGCGAGGCUUCCUUGGUCCUUUCCCUAGAAAUUCAGGCUCCUGUACUGAAAAAAAUGAAGCAGCUGGAAGCAGUCUUGAGCCCAUAAAUCUGUACCCACUGCAGGGGUCCCGAACUUUUUGUGGGGGGCACACCCCUUUGAAAAUCUAAUAAAAUGAUCAACCCUCUCUUGGGGAAAAAAAGCAGACAUCCAAAUUUUGGCUGACAAUU